UACGAAGGGGGCUAGCGUUGCUCGGAAUUACUGGGCGUAAAGCGCACGUAGGCGGCCAUAACAGUCAGAUGUGAAAGGCCUGGGCUCAACCCGGGAAUUGCAUUUGAUACUGCAUGGCUAGAGUCCAAGAGAGGGUAGUGGAAUUCCCAGUGUAGAGGUGAAAUUCGUAGAUAUUGGGAAGAACACCAGUGGCGAAGGCGGCUACCUGGCUUGGUACUGACGCUCAGGUGCGAAAGCGUGGGGAGCGAACAGG
rnacentral:rRNA from 1 species